UGGGGAAUAUUGGACAAUGGGCGAAAGCCUGAUCCAGCCAUGCCGCGUGUGUGAAGAAGGCCUUAUGGUUGUAAAGCACUUUAAGCGAGGAGGAGGGUACUGGUAUUAAUACUACCAGCUACUGGACGUUACUCGCAGAAUAAGCACCGGCUAACUCUGUGCCAGCAGCCGCGGUAAUACAGAGGGUGCGAGCGUUAAUCGGAAUUACUGGGCGUAAAGCGCGCGUAGGUGGUUCGUUAAGUUGAAUGUGAAAGCCCCGGGCUCAACCUGGGAACUGCAUCCAAAACUGGCGAGCUAGAGUAGGGCAGAGGGUGGUGGAAUUUCCUGUGUAGCGGUGAAAUGCGUAGAUAUAGGAAGGAACACCAGUGGCGAAGGCGACCACCUGGGCUCAUACUGACACUGAGGUGCGAAAGCGUGGGGAGCAAACAGG
rnacentral:rRNA from 1 species